AAUAAGUGCGGCCAUGGUUUUUCGCGUCUAACUUUGAUCAUUCGUCUUAUUUAAUUUUUUUAAAAAAAAUUAAAAACAUAAGUCAUGAGUAAAGUAUUAUUCAUGUUUUAUCAUCUUAUAAAAACAAAAAUGCUAAUUAUAAAAAAAUUUCAAAUAAGACGGAUGAUCAAAGUUGGACGUGGAAACUUAUGGCUGCACUUAUU
rnacentral:pre_miRNA from 1 species